rnacentral:rRNA from 1 species
CCUACGGGUGGCAGCAGUGGGGAAUAUUGGACAAUGGGCGAAAGCCUGAUCCAGCCAUGCCGCGUGUGUGAAGAAGGCCUUCGGGUUGUAAAGCACUUUCAGUGGGGAAGAAAGCCUUGGGGCUAAUACCCUCGAGGAAGGACAUCACCCACAGAAGAAGCACCGGCUAACUCCGUGCCAGCAGCCGCGGUAAUACGGAGGGUGCGAGCGUUAAUCGGAAUUACUGGGCGUAAAGCGCGCGUAGGCGGUCUGAUAAGCCGGUUGUGAAAGCCCCGGGCUCAACCUGGGAACGGCAUCCGGAACUGUCAGGCUAGAGUGCAGGAGAGGAAGGUAGAAUUCCCGGUGUAGCGGUGAAAUGCGUAGAGAUCGGGAGGAAUACCAGUGGCGAAGGCGGCCUUCCGGACUGACACUGACGCUGAGGUGCGAAAGCGUGGGUAGCAAACAGGAUUAGAUACCCUAGUAGUC